UAUACUGGCAACUCUAAAAUACAAAUCGUUCCUUUCAUUUGGAAAAUGUCGCACAGUGCGCUGUGUUUUUAAAUCGUCAUUUAUUAAUGUAAUCUCUUGACUGAGAGAUACAUUGAUCAGUUGAAGUUUUAACAACACCUUCUUAAAACAUGCGUGCCAAGUGGCGUAAGAAGCGUAUGCGAAGGCUAAAGCGUAAAAGGAGGAAGAUGCGUGCGAGGUCCAAAUAAACUAAUUGGUACUCAAGUGGAAAAGAAGAACAUGUUUCUGAUUGGUAGCUUGUGUAUCAAAUAAAAAAUACAAAAAAUG